CGCACAGAGCCCCUUUAACCCAUCUUGUUCCAAAGCAGCCGCAGCUGCCGCACUUCGAAGGCGUCAUUGACGGACUGCGCACGCGCCGCAGAGGCCUCCGUCCACGUUGGCAGGCCCUGUGUUUGCCAAGCUGAAGCCAAGGUCAGAGCCAUCUCCUCGCACCUGCCAGUCACUCCGCCACGCAGAAGACUACCACUUAGCCUCACGGGAGAUUCUCUCGACCCUGUCUUUAUGGAAGACCGUAGACAGUUACAGAAAAACAUUCUGAGGAUUCUUCUACAUUUUUAACUCCAACUAUAACCCUGUGAGGUGGCAUCAUUAUAUCUACUCCGUGGAUGAAUAAGGAGGCUCAACAAGGUAAAGGAGCUUGCCCAGAGUCAAGCAACUGGCUAUUUCAGAUUCUUAGAUGACGUCUUGUCACAUCUGUGCUGUCUGUGGUGAUUUGCCAGCUAAGCUUCAUCUCUGGAGAAAUCACUGAACACAGCUUUGCUCCGAUGCAGGUAGCUAAGUGAAGAAGGGAAACAUUUCUGAAUAAUUUGAAAGGAAGAGAGGGGAGUGGGAGUCCCCAAGGAAAGUGCUUCUGUCAGAGCCAAUGGAAGCAGAUGCUGCAACAAAACAGGACUCAAAAGGAUCAAGCAGGAACCUUCUUUUUGUGUGACCACGGAUGGUCCAAGAGGAUCAAUUCCAUUUAAAACCAUUAGCACACAAUUUUUGAUCAAAGGCAUUAUUCUAAUGUCACCUGUCCCUAAAUCUUGAGAUACUUAUGACAUAGCCUGUGAUUAAUCAGUAUGACAGUCAUAAUUAGGGGAAAAUGGAAAUAAAUAUGUCUUAUUUCUAUCAGUUUUACUCAAAGCUUGCCCCGGCUUCUGCCCAUAUGACUGUCAAUUCAACCUUCUGUGAACAGCGGAUUGAAAGCUUGUUUCAUGUUUCAAAUCCCUUUAUACCAUCAGGCUCUGAAUCAAAAGGCAACCUGCCAUUAUGUUUAUGUUAGAGUGAUAGUAAUUAGAGUGACCUAGAAUUCCCUACAAACUAUUUCAUCUUAAGAAACACAGGUUUUCACUUUUGCUGUCUGCAUAGCUGUCAAUCUAUAUAGAGAAGACACCAAAAGGGUAAAUUAACUUGGUGACUGUUUCAAAAUGGUAUUGAUCCAAAGAUAUAUCGGUUGACAACCCACCCUUAGAGGACAAAGGACCUACUGCCAUUCAUGGAGUAAAUAAAUACUUUAUAGGCCAGUGACACUGAUGUUUCUGGAGGCCUCUAAUAACCUGGCUUUUUACAAAACUGUUGCCAUGUUGAAUGCCCUGUUAUUAUGAAGUGAUUAUUUUCAUUUAUUUUGUUUCAUGAAUUUUACUUGUUUUUGCUACAAACAGUAGAUGUUUCUCUCAUUCUGGAAGAGAAUAAUAUGUUAUAGCAUAAGAAAAACACUCAUAUGAUGUAAAACAGCUUUUGGUUUGGGCCAUGUUUUCAAGGGCAAGUCAAAGCACAACAACAGGAAUUUUGAGAUGUAGAAAUAACUUAAAUCACCAACAAAAAGCAAAAGAUGGAGCAGUGGAAUGAAGGUGGGAGAAAGCUUUAAAUUGGCUCACAUUUUAUAGCAA